rnacentral:lncRNA from 1 species
UGAAACAGAAGGCACCAAUUCAUUAAUUGGAAUGCACCGAUCUAGCUAUAGCUUCAGCUCCAUAGAUUACAUCGUACUAUUUGACAUAGCAAGAUCAAAAUACCAACAUCCAUCAGUUCAACCUGUGAGGUCGGUACUCGUGCCAUGGUGUCUAGGAAAAUAUGGGCAUCGAGGUCUGCAGAGCACAUGGUCGAGUGUAGUGGCCAAACCGCUGUCAGCCCGAUCACGACCUAAGAUACAGUGUGGACCUGCUGGAGGGAAGCCCAAGCGCAACUUGGACGAUGGCGUACUUGGAGCCGGCGCCAGCUCUCCUGUCCCUACGGCAGCGCACGACCUGCUCCUCCGCCAUGCAUAGCCUCCUCCUCCAUGGCCUUCGCUUCCCUUCCAAGCGGCUGCCAGCGCAGCCGUUGCUCGCCUCCAGAUGGUGUGUCCAGCCACCGCUGCACGAACGUUGUGGCCUGCCGUUCUCUAGAUCAGGCCUCUAGAUCAGCCACAAUAAUUCACCUAGAUUUGGACCACAGGUGUGCUACUGCCGCCUCCUCAAGCGCAUUGACCUGGCACCGAUGAAGCAAGCGUGCGUCGAGGAGAAACAAUCAUCAAUUCAUGUCAUGGAGUACAUUGCACAGUGCGAAAAAAAAUCACCUUCUUCUAUCCGUCUCCUCAAUCCAAGCUCGGCACCAUGACUAAUAGCACAUCCAGCUCACAGCCCGCCAAAACUUGCACAACAAACAAACAAUGAAAAUCAUUAACUUGUAGCAAAUCACUAUGGAGAUAUGUUAAAAUAAACCCAAAGUAACAAUGGAAGAACAAAUACACAUCACUUGUCAUUGUAUAUUUGUGAUGACACAUGUCAGGUCACCCUUGCUAGAUUCUUGCUGGAAAAGUCACUUUCAGAAUUAGUUUCUUAUGAACAUCUCCGCAAAAAAAAAACUUCUUAUGAAAGGUGCUAUGACACAUAUCUUACAUAUCCCUCAUUUGCAUGGUCUUCCUCUACUCCUCCCUAGUUGAAUCCAUGUCUUCUCAAUAUUUUGAGAUCAAAACUAUUUUAUACCAUCAGUUCAAAUAUCAAUUAGACGUAUGUAAAUUUGCUGUUUUGAUGGAAACAUAAAUUAAGCAAUAAUAAUUAGCCAAAUACUCAUGUACAUUGUCAUGAUUAAAGCAAACAAAUUGCAAUUCAUUCACCAGAGUUCGUCAACUUACACAAAAAAGAGCAUCACGCCUUAUCAAAGUACAACCUUGUGGAGCAAAGAUCAUAUGCUUGUGGUCAAAUCGGACACCAAUUUAUCCUUUCUAGACAGAAGACGUACUUGCAUCUCCUGUGAACCUUAUCAUCACAAUCUGGAAUGUUGAGGAACCGGUUCAUUAAGUUUGCAACCAAACUAUAGAAAAUCCGUUCAUGAUCUUAGGAAGAAUUUGAUUUCCUAUUUGACUAUUAAACUGGCAAGUUAAUGAUGUAUGCAAUCAAAAGAAAAAUCAGGCUCUUCUAGGAUGAAGGCAUGUACCUUUAGCAAUGGCAAAAUAUAAAGAUCUAUGGAGGGGAGGAGGAGCCACCAAUAGAUCUGCACAUGAAGAAGCAGAAGGAGGAGCCACCACCAGAUGUGCAUAGGAAGGAC